CACGUAGGCACCAAGCGUUGUCCGGAUUUAUUGGGCGUAAAGAGUUCGUAGGCGGUUCGUUAAGUCUGAUGUUAAAGACUGGGGCCCAACCCUGGGAGUGCAUUGGAUACUGGCGGACUGGAGUGCAGUAGAGGCAAGCGGAAUUCCCAGUGUAGCGGUGAAAUGCGUAGAUAUUGGGAAGAACACCGGUGGCGCAAGCGGCUUGCUGGGCUGUAACUGACGCUGAGGAACGAAAGCUAGGGGAGCGAAUGGG
rnacentral:rRNA from 1 species